UACGGAGGAUGCAAGCGUUAUCCGGAAUUAUUGGGCGUAAAGCGUCCGCAGGUGGCUAUGUAAGUCUGCUGUUAAAGAGUGAGGCUCAACCUCAUAAGAGCAGUGGAAACUACAUGGCUAGAGUGCGUUCGGGGCAGAGGGAAUUCCUGGUGUAGCGGUGAAAUGCGUAGAGAUCAGGAAGAACACCGGUGGCGAAAGCGCUCUGCUAGGCCGCAACUGACGCUGAGGGACGAAAGCUAGGGGAGCGAAUGGG
rnacentral:rRNA from 1 species